GCUGGCAGCUAGCUCUCUGCAACUCUCACAUGGUCGCCCAUUGAAGCUUAUUAGGGCUGCGCCUGGUCAGUACCUGAAUGGGAGACCACAUGGAAGAACUAGGUUGCCGCAAGAA
rnacentral:rRNA from 1 species